rnacentral:rRNA from 1 species
AUUGAACGCUGGCGGAAUGCUUUACACAUGCAAGUCGAGCGGCAGCGCGGGGGCAACCCUGGCGGCGAGCGGCGAACGGGUGAGUAACAUAUCGGAACGUACCCUGUCGUGGGGGAUAACUAUCCGAAAGGAUAGCUAAUACCGCAUACGACCUGAGGGUGAAAGCGGGGGACCGCAAGGCCUCGCGCGAUAGGAGCGGCCGAUAUCGGAUUAGCUAGUUGGUGAGGUAAAGGCUCACCAAGGCGACGAUCCGUAGCGGGUCUGAGAGGACGACCCGCCACACUGGAACUGAGACACGGUCCAGACUCCUACGGGAGGCAGCAGUGGGGAAUUUUGGACAAUGGGGGCAACCCUGAUCCAGCCAUUCCGCGUGAGUGAAGAAGGCCUCGGUUGUAA